UCGCGCGCGAAGGUGACUUCGGUCACCGGAGAGCGGCGAACGGGUGAGUAACACGUGGGUGAUCUGCCUGGAAGCGGGGGAUAACCUGGGGAAACUCGGGCUAACACCGCAUACGUUCUCUGUGAUGCGUCAUGGAGAAGAAAACCGGCCUCUACUUGUAAGCUGGUGCUUCCAGAGGAGCCCGCGGCUGAUUAGCUAGUUGGUGGGGUAAUGGCUCACCAAGGCGACGAUCAGUAGCCGGCCUGAGAGGGUGAUCGGCCACACUGGGACUGAGACACGGCCCAGACUCCUACGGGAGGCAGCAGUGGGGAAUAUUGGACAAUGGGCGCAAGCCUGAUCCAGCAACGCCGCGUGGAGGACGAAGGCCUUCGGGUCGUAAACUCCUGUCAGACGGGACGAAGGUGUGAGGGUAAAUAAUCCUUACGCUUGACGGUACCGUCAGAGGAAGCCCCGGCUAACUCCGUGCCAGCAGCCGCGGUAAUACGGAGGGGACGAGCGUUA
rnacentral:rRNA from 1 species